UACGUAGGGGGCUAGCGUUGUCCGGAAUCAUUGGGCGUAAAGCGCGCGUAGGCGGCCCGGUAAGUCCGCUGUAAAAGUCAAAGGCUCAACCUUUGAAUGUCAGUGGAUACUGCCGGGCUAGAGUCCGGAAGAGGCGAGUGGAACUCCUGGUGUAGCGGUGGAAUGCGCAGAUAUCAGGAAGAACACCAACGGCGAAGGCAGCUCGCUGGGACGGUACUGACGCUGAGGCGCGAAAGCGUGGGGAGCGAACAGG
rnacentral:rRNA from 1 species